rnacentral:tRNA from 1 species
GGGAGAGUUCCAGAGCGGUCAAAUGGGACAGACUGUAAAUCUGCUGGCUAAGCCUUCGGAGGUUCGAAUCCUUCCUCUCCCA